rnacentral:rRNA from 1 species
CGCGUGCACUGACUCGGUUGGGCCUUUCCUUCUGGAGAACCGCAUGCCCUUCACUGGGUGUGUCGGGGAACCAGGACUUUUACUCUGAACAAAUUAGAUCGCUUAAAGAAGGCCUAUGCUCGAAUACAUUAGCAUGGAAUAAUAGAAUAGGACGUGUGGUUCUAUUUUGUUGGUUUCUAGGACCGCCGUAAUGAUUAAUAGGGACAGUCGGGGGCAUCAGUAUUCAAUUGUCAGAGGUGAAAUUCUUGGAUUUAUUGAAGACUAACUACUGCGAAAGCAUUUGCCAAGGAUGUUUUCAUUAAUCAGGAACGAAAGUUAGGGGAUCGAAGACGAUCAGAUACCGUCGUAGUCUUAACCAUAAACUAUGCCGAUUAGGGAUCGGACGAUGUUAUUUUUUGACUCGUUCGGCACCUUACGAUAAAUCAAAAUGUUUGGGCUCCUGGGGGAGUAUGGUCGCAAGGCUGAAACUUAAAGAAAUUGACGGGAAGGGCACCACCAGGGGUGGAGCCUGCGGCUUAAUUUGACUCAACACGGGGAAACUCACCAGGUCCAGACACGAUGAGGAUUGACAGAUUGAGAGCUCUUUCUUGAUUUCGUGGGUGAUGGUGCAUGGCCGUUCUUAGUUGGUGGAGUGAUUUGUCUGCUUAAUUGCGAUAACGAACGAGACCUUAACCUGCUAAAUAGCCCGUAUUGCUUUGGCAGUACGCUGGCUUCUUAGAGGGACUAUCGG